CCCCUAGUAACUGCGAGUGAAGCGGGAAAAGCUCAAAUUUGAAAUCUGGCAGUUUUUGACUGUCUGAGUUGUAAUCUAGAGAAGUGUUACCUGUGCUGGACCGUGUACAAGUCUCCUGGAAUGGAGCAUCAUAGAGGGUGAGAAUCCCGUCUUUGACAUGGACUACCUGUACAUUGUGGUGCACUCUCAAAGAGUCGAGUUGUUUGGGAAUGCAGCUCAAAAUGGGUGGUAAAUGCCAUCUAAAGCUAAAUAUUGGCGAGAGACCGAUAGCGAACAAGUACCGUGAGGGAAAGAUGAAAAGAACUUUGGAAAGAGAGUUAAACAGUACGUGAAAUUGCUGAAAGGGAAACGCUUGAAGUCAGUCACGUUGGCUGGAAAUCAGCCCUGCUUUUGCUUGGUGUACUUUCUGGUUGACGGGUCAGCAUCAAUUUUGACCAUUGGAUAAAGUCGUUGGGAAUGUAGCAUCUUUUGGGAUGUGUUAUAGCCCAGAGUCGCAUACAGUGGUUGGAAUUGAGGAACUCAGCACGCCGCAAGGUUCGGGUUUCGACCACGUUCGUGCUUAGGAUGCUGGCAUAAUGGCUUUAAUCGACCCGUCUUGAAACACGGACCAAGGAGUCUAACAUGCCUGCGAGUGUUUGGGUGGAAAACCCAUGCGCGUAAUGAAAGUGAAAGUUGAGAUCCCUUCAGGGAGCAUUGACGCCCGGACCAGACCUUCUGUGAUGGAUCCGCGGUAGAGCAUGUAUGUUG
rnacentral:rRNA from 1 species